GACGAACGCUGGCGGCGUGCUUAACACAUGCAAGUCGAACGGAAAGGCCCUGCUUUUGUGGGGUGCUCGAUUGGCGAACGGGUGAGUAACACGUGAGUAACCUGCCCUUGACUUUGGGAUAACUUCAGGAAACUGGGGCUAAUACCGGAUAGGAGCUCCUGCUGCAUGGGGGGGGUUGGAAAGUUUCGGCGGUUGGGGAUGGACUCGCGGCUUAUCAGCUUGUUGGUGGGGUAGUGGCUUACCAAGGUUUUGACGGGUAGCCGGCCUGAGAGGGUGACCGGCCACAUUGGGACUGAGAUACGGACCAGACUCCUACGGGAGGCAGCAGUGGGGAAUAUUGCACAAUGGGCGGAAGCCUGAUGCAGCAACGCCGCGUGCGGGAUGACGGCCUUCGGGUUGUAAACCGCUUUCGCCUGUGACGAAGCGUGAGUGACGGUAAUGGGUAAAGAAGCACCGGCUAACUACGUG
rnacentral:rRNA from 1 species